AUUCUACUCCCUCCGUUGCACAAUACAUGCCUUCUAUUUGUCAAAAUAUAUAUGUAUCUAGACAUGUCUUAGUAUAUAGGUACAUCCAUUUUUGGACAAAUGGAAGUCAAGUAUUUUGGAACGGAGGGAGUACAUA
rfam:Triticum urartu cultivar G1812 contig593105, whole genome shotgun sequence.